rnacentral:lncRNA from 1 species
UUCUCUCUCUCUCACUUUCUCUCCUCCUCCCUCUCGCGACGUCCGCUCUGCUCUCUCUCUCUCCCCCUCCGCGAAGUCGUCCGACGCCGACGCCGACGCCGACGCAGCCUUCGCUUCCUCCCCUGAACCCGACUCUGACGCCGACGCAGCCUCCGCUUCCUCCCCUGAACCCGACUCUGACGCCGACGCCCCUCCGCCUCCCUCUCGCGACCUCUAGUCCGCUCUCUCUCUCUCGUCCUCGAAGUCGCGCCUCUCUUCCAGCAAACCCCGACGCCGACGCCCCUCCGCCGGUUGCCUCCGUCGGCG